GGGAAACAAGAGAUGUGAACGAGAAUGUCUGCGUUCUCAUGCCUUUGUUUUACUGGACAUACUGGUCAUAUCCUGUGUGAGUCUUUCGUGAGUUGGUGACGGAAGACUUUGAUUUUGAAGCCCCACUCAUGCAGUAAGAUAAACAUCUUGACUCAGCAACAGUAGCAGAUGCCGGACCAACAGCAAUAAAUAAUAAACAGCAGGGAUGAGUGCAACAAGAAUAGGAGAUAUAGGAUUGGGUUUAGGUUACUGUUUCGAACUGCUUUGAACUGGGUCAAAUAUGCAGAAUAUGCUGGAAAAGCGAAGAAUGUGCAGGACCUGGGGGAUUUUUCUGAAGAACAGUGGGCAGUUUAACAGCUCAGGACAAACAAGGGACUCAUGAAGAACUCUCACAAAACAUAAACACAGUCGUGGAUCAUCCAGGUAACGACACACAGUGUUAAGAAUCAAGCGUAUGUAUGUAAACUUUUAAACGGGGUAAUUUUUUAUAAAUUCAGCUUGUGGACUAUAUGUAAACAUGUUACAUGAAAUAUCUUAU
ensembl:lncRNA